rnacentral:rRNA from 1 species
GAAUUCAACUCCUACGGGAGGCAGCAGUGGGGAAUAUUGCGCAAUGGGGGAAACCCUGACGCAGCAACGCCGCGUGAGUGAGGAAGGUCUUCGGAUUGUAAAACUCUUUUCUUAGGGAAAAAUGUUUUAGUGGUUAAUACCCAUUAGAAGUGAUGGUACCUAAGGAAUAAGCACCGGCUAACUUCGUGCCAGCAGCCGCGGUAAUACGAAGGGUGCAAGCGUUAUUCGGAAUCAUUGGGCGUAAAGCGCGCGCAGGCGGAUUAAUAAGUCAGGUGUGAAAUCUCGGGGCUCAACCUCGAAACUGCGCCUGAAACUAUUAGUCUAGAAUGUCGGAGGGGGCAGGGGAAUUUCACGUGUAGGGGUAAAAUCCGUAGAGAUGUGAAGGAACACCGGAGGCGAAGGCGCCUGCCUGGACGACUAUUGACGCUGAGGCGCGAAAGCGUGGGGAGCAAACAGGAUUAGAUACCCUAGUAGUCCAGGCGUU